AUGGCCACACCACCCUGAAUACGCCCGAUCUUGUCCAAUCUUGGAAGCUAAGCAGGGUCAGGCCUNUUUUUAGUUGAGUUGCUUAUACAAAAACAGUAAAAAGUUCGGUUCCAGAGCA
rnacentral:rRNA from 1 species